AGAGGAAGCCCCUAGUGUUUGUCAGUGGAUUUGGUGGAGGGAGGAAGGGAAGGAACCAUUGUGGGCUGCAAGGGCAGGGCUAUCAGGCAUGUGCUUGAAGACGGGUGUGGGUGUCGGGCGGGUACAGACAAUACGCUGGGACAUCACCAUGACACUGGUGUUGAAAACAAAACUGAUAUUCAUUUUUAAUCUUAUCUGUGAUAGGGUUCCCGAUAGCAUGGAAUCUUAGCUACGGCUCUGUUGCUAUGAAGUGGCACCUUGACCAAGGCAAAUGUUGUAAGAGAAAGCGUUUAACUGGGGACUUGUGUACAGUUUCAGAGGGUUAGUUCACAAUUAUCAUGGCAGGAAGCAGACAGGCAUGGUGCUAGAGCAGUAACUAAAAGAGAUUUCUAUCAUGAUGUGCAGGCAGCAGGCACAAAGAGACUGAGCCUGGUGUGGGCUUUUGAAACCUUAAAGCUGGUAGGUAACAUGCCUCCUCCAGCAAGGCCACACCUCCUAACCUUUCCUAAACAGUUCACCAACUAGUGACUAAGCAUGCUACUGUACGAGCCAUGAGCCGACCUGAGCGACUCUCAUUCAAAGCACCGUACUUGGGUAGGAGGAAGAACACAAACUCUUGAUUCUGAAGAUCUGACUUUAAACACACUCUGACAUCUUCACAAAAGAGCUCUCCGGUGGUGUGUAGAUUAAUAGGGGCCGUGUGUCUUUCUUACUAUGGAACAAGGAGUUUGGAGAUCAGAUGAGGAAGCUCACUUGACUUUUUUUUUCCUUCUAAGUUUUGAAGUACUAUAAUACUAUAAAAUGUUAAUGAAUCUCAGUCUAGUGUGUAGGUCUGUUUCUUGAAGAGGGACAUUGGCAAAGUUGAGCUUCUUUGUUAAUAGUCUUUGUUGGUGGAAUGUCAGCAAGCACAGCCCCAGGAUGGCCAGAUUCCAGACCACAGGAAUUGGGUGUGGCCACUUGCACUCCUUGGGUGGUAUGGUUGAGGUAGUCUUACUGCAUCUUUACAAGGUCCCUGUUGCAUGUUCCAAGUCUGGGCAUAUUGUUUGUGACUCCCUGCUGCUUCUCCCAUGUCCCACACCCACCCUCACAUUCCUCAUCUCUCAAACCGAAUUCCCUGAUGAGCUGCGUUAGAAGACCUAUCCUUCAUCUCUCCACUAGGCAUUCAUUCUAGCAUUGGAAGGGUCUCUGAUGUAGCUCUGGUACCUCACAGUGGAUGCUCAAGGUUGCCAUUGAGAGAACAGAUACCACCUUCUUCCCAGAAUUUGGACCUUGUCCCAAGAGAGAGGGGUCCAAGAUGGAGUCCUUCGUAUCCCACUCUAACAGAGUGUUUUGUCCAAGAGAUAAGACCCAAGUGCCUUCAUCAAGGGCUUCAAAACUUGGAGCAGCAUGGCCUGUUGGGCCCCCAGAGUCUAAUUACCAUCCUGUGUUGUUGGCUUGUCCUUUUUAUCUUUGCUCUUAUUAUUUAUUCAUUUAUGUGAGACAGGGUCUUAUGUAGCCCGACAUGACUGUAGCAUCCCUUAUGUUUCUGAAGAUGACCUUGAACUUUUGGUUUCCCUCCCAACUUGGGAUUAGAGAAGGGUACCACCUGAUUCCUUUUAACAUUUAUUUAGUAUGGUUAGAGUUACUUUUGCUGCGAUGAAUUACCAUAACCAAAAAGAACUGUGGAACACAGGGCUGAUUUGGCUUACACUUUCAAAUCACUGUUCCUCACCAAAGGAAGUCCGAGCAGGAACUGAAUCAGAGCUGGAACAUGGAGGCAGAUGUCAUGGAGGGAUACUGCUUCCUGGCUUGGCUCCCCAGGGCUUGCCCAGCCUGUAGAACCCAGGACCACCAGUGCAGUGAUGGCUCCACCCACAAUGGGCUGGACCCGCCCCCAUCAGUCACUGAUUAAGAAAACUGGAGUAUGCUGGCUUGCCUGACUUAAUGGAGGCAUUUUCUUAAUUGAGGUUCCUGCCUCUCAGAGGACAUCAGCUUGUGUCACAUUGACAUAAAACUAACCAGCGCAGUGUGUGUGCCUAAGAAUAUAUUGCAAGCACAACAUGAGUGGAGGUCAGAGUCUGUUGUCUCCUUCCACCGUGUGGGACUGCACUCAGGCACUCUGGGCUCCCACCUUAAGUACAGCUGCUCACUGAACCAUCUUAUCACCCUGCUGGCCUCAUGCUCCUUCUAAUAAUCUUCCUUAUCUUUGAUGUUUUAUUUGGUAGCUUACUAUUUUCCUCUCUCAUGUCUGAGUAUGAAUUUAUUUUUAUCUCCUAUUUAGAGCAAUUCUAGGAACUGCUUUUUUUUUGGGGGGGGGGGUUGUUUUGUUUUUCAAGACAGGGUUUCUCUGUGUAGCCCUGGCUGUCCUGGAACUCACUCUGUAGACCAGGCUGGCCUAGAACUCAGAAAUCCGCCUGCCUCUGCCUCCCAAGUGCUGGGAUUAAAGGUGUGCGCCACCACGCCUGGCUAGGAACUGCAUUUGGUUGUUUCAAAUAGUUAGUCUAUUUUAUUCUUUCUUGUUUUAAAAUUUUCUCAGCUUAUAUCUUUAUGUACACAUUUUUCAGUUUCUAUGCCAUGAGAGCUUCUUCUUUGAAUUUCUUUGCUAGAAUUCACCAGCUGUGGCGGUACAUGCCUAUACUCUGUCCCAACAGUCAAGAAGUAGGGGGAGGGGAAUUGAGGCCGAGGCAACAUGAGCUACCCAGCAAGACUCUGUCUC
rnacentral:lncRNA from 1 species